CGGGAGGCAGCAGUGGGGAAUAUUGCACAAUGGGCGAAAGCCUGAUGCAGCGACGCCGCGUGAGGGAUGACGGCCUUCGGGUUGUAAACCUCUUUCAGCAGGGAAGAAGCGCAAGUGACGGUACCUGCAGAAGAAGCACCGGCUAACUACGUGCCAGCAGCCGCGGUAAUACGUAGGGUGCGAGCGUUGUCCGGAAUUAUUGGGCGUAAAGAGCUCGUAGGCGGCUUGUCACGUCGGGUGUGAAAGCCCGGGGCUUAACCCCGGGUCUGCAUUCGAUACG
rnacentral:rRNA from 1 species